UCUACGGGAGGCAGCAGUGAGGAAUAUUGGUCAAUGGCCGAGAGGCUGAACCAGCCAAGUCGCGUGAGGGAAGAAUGUCCUAUGGAUUGUAAACCUAUUUUGUCAGGGAGCAAAGUCACCCACGUGUGGGAGUUGGAGAGUACCUGAAGAAAAAGCAUCGGCUAACUCCGGGACAGCAGCCGCGGGAAUACGGAGGAUGAGAGCGUUGUCCGGUUUGAGUGGGUUGAAAGGGUGCGUAGGCGGGUUAUCAAGUCAGCGGUAAAAUCGUGGAGCUCAACUCCAUCCAGCCGUGGACACUGAUGAUCUUGAGUUGGCGAGAGGUAUGCGGAAUUCGAGGUGUAGCGGUGAAAUGCAUAGAUAUCACGCAGAACUCCGAUUGCGAAGGCAGCAUACCGGCGCCCGACUGACGCUGAAGCACGAAAGCGUGGGUAUCGAACAGGAUUAGAUACCCUAGUAGUC
rnacentral:rRNA from 1 species